rnacentral:rRNA from 1 species
CCAAGGAGUUUAACAUGUACGCGAGUCAUUGAGUUUCCUGUAUCUCAAAGGCGUAAUGAAAUGUAAAGGCCGACUUGUUCGUGCUGUGACGUGAUCUGCAAUCCUAAGUGGUUGUGGCGCAGCGUCUGCCCGUCCAUGUAGCUUUGUCUACGGGGCGGAGCAUGAGCGUACAUGUUGACACCCGAAAGAUGGUGAACUAUGCCCGGGCAAGACGAAGUCAGAGGAAACUCUGAUGGAGGUCUGAAGCGUUUCUGACGUGCAAAUCGAUCGUCUGACCUGGGUAUAGGGGCGAAAGACUAAUCGAACCAUCUAGUAGCUGGUUCCUUCCGAA